GAUAAAGCAGGUGGAAGAAACACAAUCUGGCCGCCUAGAGGCUGCGUGAAGCUCGUGACCCUGCGGGGUGACUAACGGAGCUCAGCUGGGUGGGACCAGAAACCACGUCUGGGCACUCCUGAGUCACAGGCUCAGAAGCUUUCGCCUCCGCCUUCAGACUGGCCCUCAGGCUUCCCUGCUCAGAGGCAGGGAAUUGUGCAGCUGGAGUUUCAUUUUCCAAGCUGCAGCUGUGGGUGAUUCGGAUGGUCUGUUGGUGGAAUGUGGAGCUGGACGGGUCAAGGAGCACAGUGUGGAAAGAGGGACAAUUUGCUACAAGUUGGAGAUAAGAGACAUGGCAUACUGUGAAACCAGUGCUGACGGAAGAAGGUGACUUUCUUGGAAGGUCAAGACACUUGCUUGACAGCGAUGUCCAGGAGGGCUAGGGAGAGUUCUGCUGGAAGUGAAGGCAGCACCUGAGGGUGGCUGAGGGAACUGGUCAGGGCUGGGAACGCCUCCAGCCCUUUGAGGAAUGAUUCGCUGAUUAAGAGAUGUUUGGCCUUGAAAAUUGCAAGAAUGAAAUCUCUUGGUGGGAAUGUGUAGCCAAAAGCCAGCACCCUGAGUGGCUCCAAGGUUUGGGGACCCUCUCAAGGCACAAAUCCCAGUUCCUUUUCAAUUUUGAAAAUCGUUGUGGGCGAUUCUGGAAUUGAGAAGUGUGCUGAGAGCCAUGGAUUUAACAUGACAAGAAUUUCCGCCCCUUCGUCACUGAGCACACCGCAAAUGCUCCAGGGCCAGGGACUUACUUGGGCUUCUGCGUGUCUUCCACAGUGUGCAUCAAUCCGCCGGGCUCUGGUUGGUGUUUAAAAAAAAAGAUGCAGCGAAGGAAUCUGGUGUGGACAAACGCCCUGGGCAUGGACCAAAAGCCUGGCCCUUGUGUCCCUGGCAAUGGGACGGUGAAGGACAGAAAGACAGCACAUCCAGUAGUGUCAGGAGCUUGGAGCAGGCAUUCGGAAGCAUCUGUUAAAUGUUAUUGAUGGAGGAUUGACAUAACCCACAUCUGCAUAGCUUUUUUGGUCUGUUUUUGGAAGUGAACAGUCACAAACAAAAACAACUUUGGUUCAGGUCAUUUAUAGGCCCAGAUCCUCUAUCCUUAGAGGUUUCCCACCAGAUAUACUAUUUCACUAUCUAUGCCAGGAAAGUUACGUAAAACCACGCAGAAUUUUACCUGACAACGAAAUAGACCUUUUCGUUAGAUCCUCCACCCCACCUAAAGCAGUUACACAGGCUGAAAUGAAACUGUUAAAGGAAUGAACUAACUUGGAGAUAGAAUCAUCGCCUUUGCUGAACACCAUUUUAAGAAUAUUGGAAUAUAUAGGGGUACCAGCAUAAUAGUAAAAUGUGCCCAUAUUAUCUAUAAUUUUAUGCUGGGCACUUUUUAGAAAUUAUUUUUUAUAACUUUGUCUUUGAGAUGAUUUGGCUACAAGUUCAUUACAUUUAGUUUACAACUGGCUUUGAUUUCUUGGCAUUCGUUGUGUAUUAUUAGGAAACCCCGCAGAGAGAAAAUGUAAACUCCAAAUUGCUUUAAAAUAUUAUGAUAGUUUUUAGGGAUAUUACACUGUGACAGUGAAUGAAAUGGACGUAACGUUCUGUUUUGUAGAUAUUUUGUGAAAUCUUUAUUAGUCUUGAUUUUCUUUGGAACAAGUCAUUCCUGUUCUGGGCUGAAGCCUGAAAAUUCCCUGACCUGUGACCCUGGCCCAAGGCUCCUCUUGGAUAAAACAGUGUUUCCUGGACCAGAGGGCAAAGUCACAGAAACAUGAUGUGACGAAAUCUAAAUAGAAAGGUAUUGAUUUGUUCUUCGUUCAUCAAAUAGUUAUUGGACUCCAGCACGUAUGAGUAGCAGGGAGCCUGGCUAGCACUACACCUUCCCCUCCUGCCUCUCAGGGUCAGGGCCACAGGCACACACAGAGCGAGGGAAAAUGAGGGGGUAGAGAGGCUGGUCCCGAGUCUCCAGCCCUUCUCUCCCAAUCCUCUCCCUGAGUGGGCAGGGAACUCUUCUCUUGGCUCCUCCAACUUCCAUCAACGUCUGCCCUUGGGUCUGGUUUUAAACUCUAAGGUGUAAAUGACUCAUAAUGGCUCAACAUUUUGUCCCUCCCAAGAGGUAUUUUUAAGUCUAAGGAAUAAAGAUUUAAUAGUAAAACUUCGAAUGCCAAUCAGGGGUAAGUGAGGAUUUGGAAGAGGAAGGUCUUGAGCAUUUUCCUAACACUGCUAAAAUCAUCCCAUUGAGUUAGGGCAGCAACUAUCCUGAUGGGCUGGGUAUGAUGGAAGUUAGUCAAUGUUUCAAUAGAUGGAUGGAUGGAUGGAUGGAUGGAUGGAUGGAUAGACUGACGGAUGGAUGGAUGGAUGGAUGGAUGGAUGGAUGGAUAGACGGAUGGAUGGAUGGAUGGAUGGAUGGAUGGAUGGAUGGAUAGAUGGAUGGAUACAUAGAUCACCUUUAUUCUGAUCUCAACUGGUCUUUGAAGCUUGAUUCAUUUUUUGAUUUCUCACGGAGCCAGACUAGGGUCUGACACAUUAGGAAGCUGGCAAAAGUUUGUUGACUAAACAAAUUAAUGAAGGGAAAAUUAUGUAUGCAGAGAUGCCUGGGGUUUGGGUUACCGUUUUGGGUCCCCUUUGAUUUGAGCGACACACAUGCUGACAACUUGAGUCUGAAGUUAGUGGAUCCUUAGCUAACUUGCUAGAGUAAAGGUUGUGGUAAAACUUGACCUUGCUCUAUUCAUCAACAGCAUAUCCUGUGAAAGUCACGACGCUUCCAUGAAAACCUUGGUGCUAGGCCUGUGAUAUCUUUGCAGAGGUCUGACCUAAGGAGACUGCUUGUGUCAAUAGUAACAACAAUCACAAUUGUCCUGAACACAAAGGCAGCAUUCUUUGUGUGCUAGCUGUGGUUUUAAGCAUAUUACGUCUAUUUACUAAUUUAAUCCUGAAACAGCCUUUGCUUUAGGUACUCCUAUUAACCUCAUUUUAUGGAUGGGAAAAUAGACUGUGAGAAGUGAAGUCACCCGCCCAAGGUCAUACACCUGUAAGUGGUGGAGGCAGGGUUUGAACCGAGCACACUGGCCUCACUUCGUGGGCUCCUACCACUACGCUGCCUCAUGUUACUACCCUGUAUCCACCUCCAGAAUGAGUUGGCAGCUGCAAGUUCUCCCCAAGGCCCCACUGCAGCCCUUGCAUCUCAGCAUCAGCUCCUUGCACGGCCAGGUGGUGUUGUUUCUGACUCGGGGUCUGCAUCUCUCUCUGCGCCGCUGGGUUCAGGAGGCCCUGAGGAGCGAGCCCGGUCCAGUGCUAGCUUCGCAGCUCACAGCCCUUGGGCAAAUGUUACAACUGGAGGGCUGCACAAAUGCAUCAUGUGGUUUCAAACCAUGCGUCUCUCUGAGCAGGAAUUGCUGGAAUGGGCCUCAGAAAGUUCCUGACCCUUUGUCUGGGGUCACAGGGUCUGUGUCCAGUGAGGCCUAGAGGCCACGUGAGGUCCAGAGAGAGAAGCACAAGGCAGCUGCUGAGGCCUCAUAGGAACCAUGCGGUGAAGGAACCAGGGUUUCUUCUUUCUCCAUGGCAACUAGGAGUGCAGGUCAGCCUCGGAAAAGGAUCCUCCAUCUUUGGUUAAAAGAACG
rnacentral:lncRNA from 10 species